UCGGUGUUUGCUUUGUGUCUUUUCCCCUGCUUAUUUCCCGAUUAACGCUCCUCUCCAAACGGUGACAAAAUUCUCCACAAAGAGCCAGAAAAAAAGAGGAAUUGUGACUUUCAUCUCUAGGCCAGAAAGCUCUUUAAACUUCCAGCGCUGAGCUCAAAUCCAUUUCUAACAAGGUUUCUGAGGAGUAGAGUGCACACAACUUACUGCAAACUGCUGCCUGAAGUUAUAAAUUAAACUAGUCAGGUAUUUUUCCAGGGAGCGUACAAAUUAGUCCAUGUUGACAGAUGUUUGUCACUUACUAACUUCUUUCCAAGUUUUUUUUUUCCUCCUCUAAGCCUUGUUUCGAGCUUGCUUUGUUGUUUUAAAAUAUGCAUGUCUCUCAGGAAUGCCAGUCACGAGUCCAAACUUUGUGUCCAACCUCCCACAUGAAAUGAUCCUUUUAUAGGGAACCCGAUAUGUCUCAAUCUGCACUUCACUCAAAGCCUCUGCAUAUGGGGCACUGGUCCCUGCUCAAAAAUAACUCAGCAGAAACGCCUUUCCACCUAAAAAAAAAAAUCCCCACGAAUGACUCCCAAAGAAGAAAUAUAACUCCCAUAAUUAAAGGAGGCAGCGGUCAGAGGGGAAUGCAGCUUGGGGGAAAAAACAGUAAGAGUUUUAUUUCUUUUCUGAUUGCACUUGGGCUGUCAUUAACAGCAGGUUUAUCAACACAAGGCUCUCACAGCACAGCCUGAAGACCAGAGGAGAAGGACGAAGCGAGAUUCAGGAACUACAGGCCAACGGCGAGAAAGAAAGCCCUUUGAAGUAGUUCCGCCACCAGAAGGCUCGGCUCCUUCCACUCAGAGUGCAACAGCUCUUGAUGGGAGCGGAGAGGCAGGUUAUUUUUCCCAGGCUGAGAAGCAGGUGAGAGUGCUGGUGCUCCGGGCUGCGUGUUCACACCAAGCGUUUGAAAGUCCCUGUUGCUUCAAACCACUUUGCGACAGCGCUGUCAGGAGCCAGGGACGGGGGUCCUUAAGCUGAGGCUUCUCGUUCGGAUUUAGUGGCAAUCAUGGGACGCUCUUGAUCAGAAAGCCCCCGUACCAGAGCUGCGCAACUUUUCAGAGCAGCUCCCGUCUGCUCUUCUAACAUGAUCCUGCCUGGAUCGUCCCUCUCGGGCGCAUUUCCAGGGAAAUAUUACGCAGAAUGUUACCAGAAAUGCGCAGGUAUCUUUAAAAAGAAAGAAAGGGGGAGAGAGAGAUCCCUUUAAAAGCGCAUUUUCUAUCCAAUAGCUAGCGGAACCCAGGCGCAUAGUAUGAAACCAAAACCACAAUCGCUACAGCAGGGCCACAGCACGUAGUCACUAUUACUCCGGCCUUAUACACGCAUUUAAACCUUAUUUGUGCUCUUUUUAAACCUGCUUAACCACCAAGAUUCGCACGCUGUCUGCAGGUCUGAACGAUGCUCCGGGACUAGGACUAUGCAGAUUUCUUUUUUUUUAAAUGAAAUCAAAAUAAUGGCCGUUUUUUCUAACUGCAUUUGCAUUUUUGGCCUUUUUUUUCUUAUCAGUUUUUACUGGGGGUCUGCGUUCAUCACUAACCCCAUUCUUCUUCCUAACAAUGCAUUUUUAUCAAGUUCGAAAUCCAUAGUGAGCCAUAACUGGAGCAUGCGGUUAUUGUGCAGCUGAUGGCCCAGAACAAAUCCUGUUGCUCAGAAAAAAUCAUUUUGUGCAUAUCUAUGUCAUAUCUAUGGCAUAAAUAUGAAAAUUAUGUGCGUGUGCGCGCCGGCACACAGAGUGCGGGUGGGAGAAAACACAUAAGGAAUAAAAGCCGGCUGAACAUGUAAAAUCAAACCCACCAGUUACUAUUCACUUGAGGAGUCUCCAGAUUGUCUGAAUUUCCCCAUUUUUGUUAUUGAAGCCACAAAGUUGAGUUACAGUACUUAAACCGGGGAAAUUUAGCAAUGAGAUAAACCUGGCUGUCUAACCCCACUUUGAAGUAAUGCUGGUGGGUCUAAAAUCCAGAUCUACAUGUUAAUCUCUAGUUUUGCCUUCAAACGGAAUUCAGUGACAAAGAGCUUGGAAAGAUUUUGCAUCUAUUCAAGAGGCACAAAAUCUUUAAUUUUCUGAGGAGUAAAAACUCCCCAAGAAACUUCAUAUAGCUUCUUAGGUUUUGCUUAGCAUACGUGAUAAAACAUUGAUUGUCGCAGUUUGGUGACCCAUGAAAUUUGGGGGUUAGUUUUCUCUUCAGACCAGAGCAUAUAAUUAUGCAAAUAAAGAGCUGUCACUGAUCUAGUGAAAUACUCACAAGCACAUGCAAUCCCAAAUGGAACAGAAAAGUGAAAAUGUGUGGCAUUGCGAUGGUACCACGAUAAAUGCCAUCUCCUGCAAAGUUUCUCGAGAAGUUCAUCUCUUCACGCUUUGUCGACUAUUUCAACUUAAUUUACAACAUACUUUAUAACAAAUGCUAUAUAUAUGUGUGUUUCAGAUGCAUGCCAGUAUAAAAUGUACACUGCAUAGUUCUUGGAAGGCUAUUUUAAUUUUGGUAGCUAGAAAACAUAGCGCAUUGCAGGAGGAUCUUGGCUAUCUAUGGCAGCUUCCAUUUGUAGGUUUGAGGGCAAUUCUUAGAGAGACCAAAGCCGGGAUCGUCUGGAAGCCCCACGUUUCCCUUAAUCAAGACCAAGGGGAUAAAUCUAAACUGCUGUCUAGAUCCAAGGUGCUGAGUAGCGGAUAAACAGCGGACGCUCCAUCCACACCAGUGCUGCAUUUCAUACGAAAAGUUUCCCCCCGCAACUUUAAAUGCUCGCGCAGAGCCUGCCGGAUUGUGUGGCCAGGCACAUCGCACUUCGGGGCACAGGGUAAUAGCAGGGCCUCUUUCUCCUUCCCAGUACAGCCGUGCUAAAUUUCCCCAUCGGAUGUAAGAUCUGGGGGAGAAGUGGGGACCUCAGCCUUCUGAUACUCUUAGAUCCAGGGCUCAUUUGUGACAAAAUAAUAAGCCCCCUUCGCAUCCAACCCUGCUCUUACAUCGUUUUGGCAUUUGGGUCUCUCGGUCCCACAGUUACCAGUCCUCAGUCUGUCUAAUAUUGUCAGAUGUCAUGGAGCUUCCCAGUGAUGAAAUCUGAGAAGGCUCAUGUCAGACCUCUGACUGCUAAAGACAUCACUACAUGAAAGAUCAGUGGUGUGAAACUUUAAAAAUAUCGAUCCAAAUGAAUCAAUUAAAUCAACAUUCAUCCCUCCUAAGUGCGGUUUAAGACUAUCAUUGUUACCUUUUUACACUACACAGAUUUGGAGAUAAACGCUGGAAUGCUUUGAUGGUUUCAUCUCGCCUAGAAACACUGUUAAUCGACUUUGUGUUAUUUUCCCCCUUUCAACAGCUUACCUCCCCGCGUACAUUCUUCACAUAUAGGACUGUCCAAGACUGCUCCUUCCAAUCUAACACUGGAUAACAAAGCUGAUUCUGUAGCGAGGAGGGGGUGAAGCUUUGUUAGGUGUUGAUUAAAACUCUUUUUUCCCCAGCCUCAAACUGAUCUUUUUUUUUUUUUUUUGAGAGAGAGAGAUUAAUGGAAUAUCAGUUAAAAGGAAGAGGAA